rnacentral:rRNA from 1 species
AUGAACGCUAGCGGCAGGCUUAAUACAUGCAAGUUGUACGGGAUUUCGGGUAGCAAUACCUGGAUGAGAGUAGCGCACGGGUGCGUAACGCGUAUGCAACCUACCUUUAACCGGGACACAACCAUGAGAAAUUGUGGCUAAUAUCCCAUAACACUGCGAUGUGGCAUCACAAUGCAGUUAAAGCUCCGGCGGUUAUAGAUGGGCAUGCGUGACAUUAGCUAGUUGGUGAGGUAACGGCUCACCAAGGCUACGAUGUCUAGGGGUUCUGAGAGGAUUAUCCCCCACACUGGUACUGAGACACGGACCAGACUCCUACGGGAGGCAGCAGUAAGGAAUAUUGGGCAAUGGACGCAAGUCUGACCCAGCCAUGCCGCGUGAAGGAUGAAGGCCCUAUGGGUUGUAAACUUCUUUUAUACGGGAAAAAACCGCCGGUCGUGUAUCGGUGCUGAUGGUACCGUAAGAAUAAGCAUCGGCUAACUCCGUGCCAGCAGCCGCGGUAAUACGGAGGAUGCAAGCGUUAUCCGGAUUCAUUGGGUUUAAAGGGUGCGCAGGCGGAUUAAUAAGUCAGUGGUGAAAUCCUACGGCUCAACUGUAGAACUGCCAUUGAUACUGUUAGUCUUGAGUAUUGUUGAGGUAGGCGGAAUGUGUCAUGUAGCGGUGAAAUGCUUAGAUAUGACACAGAACACCAAUCGCGAAGGCAGCUUACCAAGCAAUAACUGACGCUCAUGCACGAAAGCGUGGGGAUCAAACAGGAUUAGAUACCCUGGUAGUCCACGCUGUAAACGAUGAACACUCGAUGUUGGCGAUACACAGUCAGCGUCUGAGCGAAAGUAUUAAGUGUUCCACCUGGGGAGUACGGUCGCAAGAUUG